GGAUGUGAGGGCAAUCUGGCUGCAACAUCUGUCAUCCUAUUGAUUGCCAGGAUUGAUUCAGCUGAUGUGACUGGCUAGGCGGGUGUCCCCGUCCUCCGUGAAUGCUCCACAUGCAUCCUGCCCAAAGUUGUGUGCUCACCGUCCCCGAUAGAGGAGGAUUGGUCUUCAGUCAACGGUAUAUGAAUAGCUGCGCUCCCCGGCUAGAACCUCCAAAUAAGCUCUCAAGUCAUUUAGAAAGAACAAUUUAAAAUUUAAAAACAACCGGGGCGUGGUGGCGCACACCU
rnacentral:snRNA from 1 species